AUUGAACGCUGGCGGCAUGCCUUACACAUGCAAGUCGAACGGUAGCGCGGGGCAACCUGGCGACGAGUGGCGAACGGGUGAGUAAUGUAUCGGAACGUGCCCAGUUGUGGGGGAUAACUGCUCGAAAGAGCAGCUAAUACCGCAUACGACCUGAGGGUGAAAGCGGGGGAUCGCAAGACCUCGCGCAAUUGGAGCGGCCGAUAUCAGAUUAGGUAGUUGGUGGGGUAAAGGCUCACCAAGCCAACGAUCUGUAGCUGGUCUGAGAGGACGACCAGCCACACUGGCACUGAGACACGGCGCAGACUCCUACGGGAGGCAGCAGUGGGGAAUUUUGGACAAUGGACGCAAGUCUGAUCCAGCCAUGCCGCGUGCGGGAAGAAGGCCUUCGGGUUGUAAACCGCUUUUGUCAGGGAAGAAACGCUCUGGGUUAAUACCUCGGGGUAAUGACGGUACCUGAAGAAUAAGCACCGGCUAACUACGUGCCAGCCGCCGCCGUAAGAC
rnacentral:rRNA from 1 species